UUUCGACUUACCUUUUAACCAGUACUUGCGCCGAUGGAGGGGGAAAUAUGAACCCGCCAUAAAACGUCCUGCAAUUUUCCUUCCCGCACUCACUCGUCUUUCUGUCUACGGAGGAUUUUCGGAAAAUCAACUUCCACGCCUAGUUCUUCAACGAGUUCCACCAUUAUUCUUAAUAUCCUCUGUGGACCUGUUUUAUUUUUCCUUCCAAUGACAAGAGCUCAACUCAAAGAAGAGGCAGAUGCCAGUCUUGAGAUAAUUUCCAUCGGAUCGUUGUACAGUGGACACAUUGGGACAAGAAGUACUGGAGCUCUAGGGUUCAUAUUCGAUUUAUUUUGCCCUGCAUAUUCUGAUUUAUAUGUCUGCUGUAACUGAUUUCAUUUAUCGCGGUGGUGAUGUUGCUAUUUCCGAUUAUAUAUUUCUAUGUUUAUUUGAUAGUUUGCCUAUCACCUCUAGUGGAAAGCAUGUGAUGCUUGUAACAUAGUUUGUUCCCUUUGGAAUUCUGUUCUGUAUUUUUCGACUUGGUUGCUUUGAAAAGAUUUCUUUUCUGAUAAUUGGUUGUUUUGAAGCGAUUGCAAGCUUAUCUGGGUAGGUUUUGCGAUCUAGAAUUGGUAAAAAUUAGUUGAUCCCAAUUUGCAAGUAAAAUCAGAUUGUCUACUUCAUGAAGCUUAUCUGAUAAAUUAAUUUUGAGUAGUGCGAAUUUGUUGUAAAUUGGAUUUGGUAUUAAUGCACACUAAAUUCCAUUUAGUGUCACCGCAAUCUUCAGGAGAGUCAAAUAUCCAGAGUUCCAAUAUCCAGGGAAACUUUGGACCAAUUGACGAAUUUGUCAAUUCGAACUGCUUGCUGAACUAAUUACCAUUUUUGUUAUUUUUCGAGUGGUUGUUGUAGUUGCAAAUUUAAUAUACCUGAAGAGGUGUUUUAGAUCAAGAACAGUAAAUGUCAAAGAGAGCUAGGAAUAUAGAUUUUGGAGUUUCAUGUGGUAGUUUAAAUGUGUUUUAUGAAUUAUUUACUGAUGGAUAAUUAUGGAGUGACUUAUUUGUUAUCUAGGUGUGUCUAUUUCAACUCUGCAUUGUAGUAGAGAUAAAUCUGAUAUUGAUGAUUCCCAUUAUCUUUCUUUAUAAGAGAUCCUCCCAUUAGAGCUUCAAGAAGUUAAGAGAAGAUGCAUUUACAUGAUUCUAGAUAAGAAAUCUCAACUGAGGACCUACUGUAAUCAUUGCAUUAUUGUGUAGGGUAAAGAUCGAUUUCCCUAUCCAGAUGGGCAAUCUGGCUAGUCUCCGAAGGGGCUUUUAUUUAUGAUUUUGUCCAUGGAUGGACGUUCAUUUUCAGAGGAGAGGCUGCCUCUUCACUAAUAUUUGGCACGGGAAGCGUCUUCAUGCAAGGUUGAUGGAGGGGAGAUGGAAAUACAAAAGACGUAUAGAAGAAAGAAGAUAGAGCAAAGCAGGAAUACAUGCACAUACUGCAUGGGAAGUACGAAUCCGCUGUCCCAAGUUUUGUGCUUCCCAAACAUGGUCCUGACAAUCUGGAGGGCGAGCAACAUUAUGACCGUGCAUACAUAAAUGGCAACUUCUCUUCUGUUGCAGACAGUGGUCGAGCCACUGGAAGCAAAAAGUCCCGUGACAGUGAAAUUGGUGGAAUGUGCAUGGAACAAGUCAAGAGGGUCAUUUUACGUUUCAGAAUGUCCUCUCGGCUGUACCUCUUCUGGUAGAGUACUUUCUGAUGAAACUAUGCGUAAUAAUAAAAGGAUGGAUAAAUGCCCAUUAAAUCUUCAAAUAAAUUCCUUGAAAGUGGACAAGUAAACUCCUACGGAUUAUAUAGAAAGCAAUGCGAGAGCAACCUUGUUCGAGUGGAUCCUUUUCUCAACUCCCGCAUGCUCAGAAUGCAAAUGAUUCAAGUGUAAGAAGGACCUCCGCAUAUCCAGAGGCAUUAAGUAAGGAAGUCAUUGUAACAAGUGUGUUGAAGCAUCACUGAGAGCCAACAAGAAGCAUAAUUCAGGACUUCUAGACACACCUGUUUUGAAGGAAGAUUGGGAAGUUGGAAGCGAACGGAAAACUUUACCAGCAACUGUAAUGCAAGGGACUAUGUUAAAGAGCUGUUGUGUGCAAUGAGUACAAGCUCAAAGAACACCGAGGAACAUUCCUUACUUCAGCUAAAGGACUCUGCCAUAUGGCUGUUUGCCUCAACCAUAUCAGAUUCUCGAGAUUCACAUGACUAUUUACCAAUGGAUUGUCAGAUAAAUCAUGCAGAAUUGUGGAAACUAAUGCUACUUGCUGACAGUACGGUCACAUUUGGUGCGUAGCUGGAUUUAAGAGACUGCCACUGGGGCAUCAGCUGGUCGAGGUAUCAUUCGGACUCGGGUGGGCAUUGUCUACAGGAAAUAAAUUGGGCACUCUUCUUCGUUUUACAGGUGCAAGUGUUUUUUGUAUUGCAACUGAUAAUAAAGAGACAGGUGUGGUGGCUGUCGCGGCUGAUAGCAGGCAGCUGGUGUAUCUACUUUCAUCAGAUGGGAAAAGAUAGCAAUAAUGGCCAACCAACGAAGAAAGUUACUUGUAAGUCGCAUACUAUCAGCAAAUGUUUUAGUUUUGAGUUGGUUUCCAUCGUGAUCUUGAUAUGACAAUGUAGGAGUCUUUGUGACAUGGCUGCAUCAGAGCCGACGAUAAAUGUAAAAAUAAUCAUUCAUUUACGAAAAUAAAUGUU